ACGAACGCUGGCGGCAUGCCUAACACCUGCAAGUCGAACGCGACCUUCGGGUCUAGUGGCGCACGGGUGCGUAACGCGUGGGAACCUGCCCUUAGGUUCGGAAUAACUCCCCGAAAGGGGUGCUAAUACCGGAUAAUGUCUUCGGACCAAAGAUUUAUCGCCUUUGGAUGGGCCCGCGUUGGAUUAGCUAGUUGGUAGGGUAAAAGCCUACCAAGGCGACGAUCCAUAGCUGGUCUGAGAGGAUGAUCAGCCACACUGGGACUGAGACACGGCCCAGACUCCUACGGGAGGCAGCAGUGGGGAAUAUUGGACAAUGGGCGAAAGCCUGAUCCAGCAAUGCCGCGUGAGUGAUGAAGGCCUUAGGGUUGUAAAGCUCUUUUACCCGGGAUGAUAAUGACAGUACCGGGAGAAUAAGCUCCGGCUAACUCCGUG
rnacentral:rRNA from 1 species